rnacentral:rRNA from 1 species
UGCAGUCGAACGAGAUCCAAUGUGUAGCAAUACACAGGAAGAUCUAGUGGCGAACGGGUGAGGAACACGUGAGAAACGUACCCCAAACUUUGGGAUAACAGUCCGAAAGGACUGCUAAUACCAGAUGACGUCGGAGGUCCGCAUGGACCACUGACGAAAGGGAUUCCGGUUUGGGAGCGUCUCGCGGACCUAUCAGCUAGUUGGAGGGGUAACGGCCCACCAAGGCAACGACGGGUAGCUGGUCUGAGAGGAUGGACAGCCACACUGGGACUGAGACACGGCCCAGACUCCUACGGGAGGCAGCAGUGGGGAAUCUUGCGCAAUGGGCGAAAGCCUGACGCAGCAACGCCGCGUGCGGGAAGAAGGCUUUCGGGCUGUAAACCGCUUUCAGUAGGAACGAAACUGACGGUACCUACAGAAGAAGGAGCGGCCAACUAUGUGCCAGCAGCCGCGGUGACACAUAGGCUCCAAGCGUUGUCCGGAUUUAUUGGGCGUAAAGAGCUCGUAGGCGGUCGAGUAAGUCGGGUGUAAAAACUCUGGGCUUAACCCAGAGAUGCCACUCGAUACUGCUGUGACUUGAGUUCGGUAGGGGAGCGGGGAAUUCCUUGUGUAGCGGUGAAAUGCGCAGAUAUGAGGAGGAACACCGGUGGCGAAGGCGCCGCUCUGGGCCGUAACUGACGCUGAGGAGCGAAAGCGUGGGUAGCAAACAGGAUUAGAUACCCUGGUAGUCCACGCGGUAAACGGUGGUCACUAGGUGUGGGUCUCUACCAAUGAGAUCCGCGCCGUCGCUAAC